CGGAAACGUGCCUUUUUUUUUUCCAACUUGGCCCACAUGACGUACAGAUCCGUCACAAAUACAAAAUUCCUCUGCCUACUCUGACAGAGUCUCCUUUGUAUUUCCACGACGUACUAACAGCUACAUCAGGAUCUCAACCACAAUCUAUAUUUACCAAUCACCAAUCAUCAUGCCACGCAUUUCCAUACAGCUAGCAAUCCUUAGAGAUGAUGCAUGCCUCUAAGCACUCCUUAGGCGCUGGAUGAUGCAAUGCACAAUACAACAGUCAUCCUAUUAAAAGUGCUCCCCACCCGGAAGCUUUGCUUUUAAAAUUCUAAUUCAAACAUUCACGAAAACCAAUUCGAAAAUCUUUUGAAAACUGUUUCUCACACAGAAACUCUAUUUUGAAAAUCGACUACCUCGAGGGGUAGAACACCACAAUGUAUAAAUCAACUAUCCAUAAAACCAAAACCAAGAAUCUGCAAAUCUCUAAUCUCAGAUCCACAAUUUCAUGCAUAGGAGGAAAACCAACUCAUUCAAACAUUCGAACAUCAGUAAUGAUCAUCUAACUGAACCAAUUAUUAUUAAA
rnacentral:lncRNA from 1 species